UACGUAGGGUGCGAGCGUUGUCCGGAAUUAUUGGGCGUAAAGAGCUCGUAGGCGGUGUGUCACGUCGGCCGUGAAAACCCUGGGGCUUAACUCUGGGCGUGCGGUCGAUACGGGGCAUCACUAGAGUUCGGCAGGGGAGACUGGAAUUCCUGGUGUAGCGGUGAAAUGCGCAGAUAUCAGGAGGAACACCGGUGGCGAAGGCGGGUCUCUGGGCCGAUGACUGACGCUGAGGAGCGAAAGCAUGGGUAGCGAACAGG
rnacentral:rRNA from 1 species